CCUACGGGUGGCAGCAGUAGGGAAUCUUCCACAAUGGACGAAAGUCUGAUGGAGCAACGCCGCGUGAGUGAAGAAGGGUUUCGGCUCGUAAAGCUCUGUUGGUAGGGAAGAAAGAUAGAGGUAGUAACUGGCCUCUAUUUGACGGUAAUUACUUAGAAAGUCACGGCUAACUACGUGCCAGCAGCCGCGGUAAUACGUAGGUGGCAAGCGUUGUCCGGAUUUAUUGGGCGUAAAGCGAGUGCAGGCGGUUCAAUAAGUCUGAAGUGAAAGCCUUCGGCUCAACCGGAGAAUUGCAUCAGAAACUGUUGAACUUGAGUGCAGAAGAGGAGAGUGGAACGCCAUGUGUAGCGGUGGAAUGCGUAGAUAUUAGGAGGAACACCAGUGGCGAAGGCGACUUUCUGGACUGUACCUGACGCUGAGGCGCGAAAGCGUGGGUAGCGAACGGGAUUAGAUACCCGAGUAGUC
rnacentral:rRNA from 1 species